GAGAAACCAGAGUGCUCUCUCUCUCUCUGGACACAAACGCAGAAAGGUCAUGUGAUGACAGAUGGGAGGUGCCAUUUAAAAGCUGAAAAGAGAGGCCUCACCAGAAACCAACCAUGUUGGCAACAUAGUCGUAGACAGGCAGCACUCAUAACUGCGAUAAAUAUCUGGGUCUCAAAUGCAUCUUAGAAGAUACGUUAUUUGAUGUUUGCUUCUCUUACGAAGAACUAAGUCUGAUAGAACAAUGAAGGUUAAGUCCAACCCUGCUGGACCUGGUAUACAUUUUGAGUAGCAAGACAAUAUGUACACUCAACACAGCUCUCUGCUGCUGCUACUAGAGAAUACCUUUCUCUGUGCUACCUGUGCCUGAGACCUGAAGAAGAUGGAAACCCAGAAUGAGCACUGACUGAACAAGAAAAAAGAAAGCUUGCUCUCUAGUCAAAGUACAAGGAAAGGAGAAGCACAGCAAGAAAGAAAACUUUUUGAAAAUAACCUCUCUAUUCCAGCCAAACAAAACGGAAAAUAAGUUGUUGCCCUACUCUCACCCAUCCUAUUUAAGAACUACUAGACCUAGAUAUCCCCCCACAAAAGAAUCUAACAAGUUGCCUCCAAAAUCUCAUUGUGGUGGUAUCAGAGAGGACUAAAUAGGGAGAAUGUGGUCUUCUACCCCACCAAGCAAUAAGGAAGUUCAGCUUUUCCUCUCAGCUUAAAUGGUGUCUUAGGAGGUCUAAUGCAAAGUCAGAACUUUUGCCAUCACUCAGCUGUACAGAACCUGCACCCACUACGUUGUCAUAGAGAUCACCUGAGAAACCAAUUGCCAACACUAGCCCUGCAGUAAAAAGGAAGGAGCUGCCCAUUCCCAUCACUCAAAUGUCAAUAGAGGUCAAGUGAGGAAUCCUGAACUUCUACCUCCAAAUAGCAGUAAUAAGGUGGUGCCCUCUAUCCCCUACCAGAGCAGAGAAAUAUUGUUAAAACAGAAGUUUUAAGUAAAAUCCAGAGUUUCAUAGCACAAUACGAAAAUGUCUGAGUUUUAAUAGACAAUCACUUAUCAUGCCAAGAACCAGGAAGAUGUCAAACUGAAUUAAAAAAAACACUCAGUUGUGGCAGUGGGCUGAGAUCGUGCUGGUGCACUCCAGCCUGGACAACAGAGUGAGACACCAUCUCAAAAAACAAACAAACAAACAAACAAAAAAAACCACUCGAUGGCAAGUUGACAGCAAUAUAAUGAAAAUAAUUGUGUAACAUCACUGAUAUUUUUUGGCUGUGUCCCCACCCAAAUCUCAUCUUGAAUUGUAACUCCCUCAAUUUCCAUGUGUUGUGGGAGGAACCCAGUGGGAGGUAAUUGAAUCAUGGGGACGGGUCUUUCCUGUGCUGUUCUCAUGAUAGUGAAUAAGUCUCAUAAGAUGUGACAGUUUUAAAAAUGGGAGUUUCCCUGCACAGGUUCUCCCUCUUGCCACUGCCAUGUAAGAAGUGGCUUUUGCCUUCCUCCAUGAUGGUGAGACCUCCCCAGCCACAUGGAACUGAAAGUCCAUUAAACUUCUUUCAUUUUUAAACUGCCCAGUC
rnacentral:lncRNA from 10 species